rnacentral:rRNA from 1 species
UACAGAGGGUGCGAGCGUUGUUCGGAAUUAUUGGGCGUAAAGGGCGCGUAGGCGGUGCGGUAAGUCACCUGUGAAAUCUCCUGGCUCAACUGGGAGCUUGCAGGCGAAACUGCCGUGCUGGAGUGUGGGAGAGGUGCGUGGAAUUCCUGGUGUAGCGGUGAAAUGCGCAGAUAUCAGGAGGAACACCGAUGGCGAAGGCGGCUUCCUGGACCGACACUGACGCUGAGGCGCGAAAGCUAGGGGAGCAAACGGG